ACGGGUGAGUAAUAUAUCGGAACGUGCCCAAUCGUGGGGGAUAACGUAGAGAAAUUUACGCUAAUACCGCAUACGAUCUAAGGAUGAAAGCGGGGGAUCGCAAGACCUCGCGCGAUUGGAGCGGCUGAUAUCAGAUUAGGUUGUUGGUGAGGUAAAAGCUCACCAAGCCGACGAUCUGUAGCUGGUUUGAGAGAACGACCAGCCACACUGGGACUGAGACACGGCCCAGACUCCUACGGGAGGCAGCAGUGGGGAAUUUUGGACAAUGGGCGAAAGCCUGAUCCAGCAAUGCCGCGUGCAGGAAGAAGGCCUUCGGGUUGUAAACUGCUUUUGUACGGAACGAAACGGCUCUUUCUAAUAAAGAGGGCUAAUGACGGUACCGUAAGAAUAAGCACCGGCUAACUACGUGCCAGCAGCCGCGGUAAUACGUAGGGUGCGAGCGUUAAUCGGAAUUACUGGGCGUAAAGCGUGCGCAGGCGGUUAUGUAAGACAGUUGUGAAAUCCCCGGGCUCAACCUGGGAAUUGCAUCUGUGACUGCAUAGCUAGAGUACGGUAGAGGGGGAUGGAAUUCCGCGUGUAGCAGU
rnacentral:rRNA from 5 species